rnacentral:rRNA from 1 species
GGCGAACGCUGGCGGCGUGCUUAACACAUGCAAGUCGAACGGAAAGGCCCUGCUUUUGUGGGGUGCUCGAGUGGCGAACGGGUGAGUAACACGUGAGUAACCUGCCCUUGACUUUGGGAUAACUUCAGGAAACUGGGGCUAAUACCGGAUAGGAGCUCCUGCUGCAUGGUGGGGGUUGGAAAGUUUCGGCGGUUGGGGAUGGACUCGCGGCUUAUCAGCUUGUUGGUGGGGUAGUGGCUUACCAAGGCUUUGACGGGUAGCCGGCCUGAGAGGGUGACCGGCCACAUUGGGACUGAGAUACGGCCCAGACGCCUACGGGAGGCAGCAGUGGGGAAUAUUGCACAAUGGGCGGAAGCCUGAUGCAGCAACGCCGCGUGCGGGAUGACGGCCUUCGGGUUGGAAACCGCUUUCGCCUGUGACGAAGCGUGAGUGACGGUAAUGGGUAAAGAAGCACCGGCUAACUACGUG